GCCGGGGUGGCGGAACUGGUAGACGCGCCGGAUUCAAAAUCCGGUGAUGGCAACAUCGUGCCGGUUCGAUUCCGGCCCUCGGUACCA
rnacentral:tRNA from 2 species